GACGAACGCUGGCGGCGUGCCUAAUACAUGCAAGUAGAACGCACAGGAUGCACCGUAGUUUACUACACCGUAUUCUGUGAGUUGCGAACGGGUGAGUAACGCGUAGGUAACCUGCCUGGUAGCGGGGGAUAACUAUUGGAAACGAUAGCUAAUACCGCAUAAGAACAUUUACUGCAUGGUAGAUGUUUAAAAGGUGCAAAUGCAUCACUACCAGAUGGACCUGCGUUGUAUUAGCUAGUAGGUGAGGUAACGGCUCACCUAGGCGACGAUACAUAGCCGACCUGAGAGGGUGAUCGGCCACACUGGGACUGAGACACGGCCCAGACUCCUACGGGAGGCAGCAGUAGGGAAUCUUCGGCAAUGGGGGGGAACCCCUGACCGAGCAACGCCCGCGUGAGUGAAAGAAAGGGUUUUUCGGAU
rnacentral:rRNA from 1 species